GAACAUCAAUUAUCUGAACACAGAUCUACUACCUCCUCAUCACAUCAGCUCAGGUCAUAACACGUAAUUAUCAGGCUCAAAUUGAUUUUCCUACAGAACUGAACAAUUGUCCAACUGUUAGCAAACCUUACAAGGCCGACUCAAGCAAACACCCAAUAUGAGAAUGACAACUAUCAACAUCUUACAUCUAAAAUCAAGUUAUAGUACCAAUCAA
rnacentral:misc_RNA from 1 species